GCUCUCGACCAUAGCGGAGGGGGUACACCCGGUCCCAUUCCGAACCCGGAAGUUAAGCCCUCCGUCGCCGAUGAUACUCCGUCAGGGGGAAAGUAGGUGUCGAGAGCU
rnacentral:rRNA from 1 species